UACGUAGGGGGCAAGCGUUGUUCGGAAUUACUGGGCGUAAAGGGCGCGUAGGCGGCCCGCUAAGUCGAACGUGAAAUCCCCGAGCUCAACUCGGGAACUGCGUCCGAUACUGGCGGGCUUGAAUCCGGGAGAGGGAUGCGGAAUUCCAGGUGUAGCGGUGAAAUGCGUAGAUAUCUGGAGGAACACCGGUGGCGAAGGCGGCAUCCUGGACCGGUAUUGACGCUGAGGCGCGAAAGCUAGGGGAGCAAACGGG
rnacentral:rRNA from 1 species